rnacentral:rRNA from 1 species
CUACGGGGCGCAGCAGUAGGGAAUAUUGCACAAUGGGCGAAAGCCUGAUGCAGCAACGCCGCGUGCGCGAUGAAGGCCUUCGGGUUGUAAAGCGCUUUUCUGAGGGAAGAGGAAGGACUGUACCUCAGGAAUAAGUCUCGGCUAACUACGUGCCAGCAGCCGCGGUAACACGUAGGAGGCAAGCGUUAUCCGGAUUUACUGGGCGUAAAGCGCGUGUAGGCGGUUUGGCAAGUCGGAUGUGAAAGCUCCUGGCUCAACUGGGAGAGGUCGUUCGAAACUGCCAGACUAGAGGACGGUAGAGGAAGAUGGAAUUCCCGGUGUAGUAGUGAAAUGCGUAGAUAUCGGGAGGAACACAGUGGCGAAGGCGGUCUUCUGGGCCGUUCCUGACGCUGAGACGCGAAAGCAUGGGUAGCGAACGGGAUUAGAUACCCGCGUAGUC